rnacentral:rRNA from 1 species
AUUGAACGCUGGCGGCAGGCCUAACACAUGCAAGUCGAACGAGUGGCGGACGGGUGAGUAAUGUCUGGGAAACUGCGCGUAGGCGGGGGAUAAGUACUGGAAACGGUAGCUAAUAACGCACACCAUCGGAUGUGCCCAGAUGGGAUUAGCUGGAAGGUGAGGGAACGGCUCACCUAGGCGACGAUCCCUAGCUGGCCUGAGAGGAUGACCAGCCACACUGGAACGGAGACACGGGCCAGACUCCUACGGUAGGCAGCAGUGGGGAAUAUUGCACAAUGGGCGCAAGCCUGAUGGAGCCAUGCCGCGUGUAUGAAGAAGGCCUUCGGGUUGUAAAGUACUGUUGGCGGAGAGGCGGUACCCGCAGAAGAAGCACCGGCUAACUCCGUGCCAGCAGCCGCGGUAAUUC